CAAGGAAUUAAGGGUUUAUGGGGAAUACCUUGGCAUUCAGAAGCGAAGAAGGACGUGGUUACCGACGAUACGCUUCGGGGAGCUGGAAACAAGCAACGAUCCGGAGGUCUCCGAAUGAGGAAACUUUAAUUAAUAACUACUUAUUGAAUACAUAGAUAAGAAAGAGCGAACCUAGGGAACUGAAACAUCUUAGUACCUGGAGGAAAAGAAAGUAAAAACGAUUCCCUGAGUAGCGGCGAGCGAAACGGGAACAGCCUAAACUUAAUAAUAAAUUAAGGGUAGUGGGACAAUCAAAACGAUUAUAUGUAACGAUUAGAAGAACAAUUUUGGAAUAAUUGACCAUAGAGAGUGAUAGUCUCGUAUUCGAAAAUCGAAACCAUCAGAUUGUAUCCCAAGUAGCAUGGAGCACGUGGAAUUCCGUGUGAAUCUGCGAGGACCACCUCGUAAGGCUAAAUAUUCCUGAAUGACCGAUAGUGAAAUAGUACCGUGAGGGAAAGGUGAAAAGAACCCCGGGAGGGGAGUGAAAAGAACAUGAAACCAUAAACUUACAAGCAGUAGGAGGACGACUAAAACGUCUGACUGCGUGCCUGUUGAAGAAUGAGCCGGCGACUUAUAGGUAGUGGCAGGUUAAGGUAGUGAAUACCGAAGCCAUAGUGAAAGCGAGCCUGAAUAGGGCGAUUGUCACUAGUUAUAGACCCGAACCCGGAUGAUCUAACCAUGGUCAGGUUGAAGCUUAGGUAAUACUAAGUGGAGGACCGAACCGACUGAUGUUGAAAAAUCAGCGGAUGAAUUGUGGUUAGGGGUGAAAUGCCAAUCGAAUUCGGAGCUAGCUGGUUCUCCCCGAAAUGCGUUUAGGCGCAGCGGUGAAUGUUAUAAUUUAGGGGUAAAGCACUGUUACGUAUGCGGGCUGGUAAUUCGGUACCAAAUCGUUGCAAACUAAGAAUACUAAAUGUACAGUUCACCAGUAAGACUGUGGGGGAUAAGCUCCAUUGUCAAGAGGGAAACAGCCCAGAGCACCAGUUAAGGCCCCCAAAUAAUUGCUAAGUGGUAAAGGAGGUGGGAUUGCAGAAACAAUCAGGAGGUUUGCUUAGAAGCAGCAACCCUUUAAAGAGUGCGUAAUAGCUCACUGAUCGAGUAAACCUGCGCCGAAAAUGAACGGGACUAAGUAAUUUGCCGAAACUGUGCGAUAUAUUAAAAUAUAUCGGUAGGGGAGCGUUCUGUUGUAGGUCGAAGUAUUAGCGUAAGCGGAUAUGGACGAAGCAGAAGUGAGAAUGUCGGCUUGAGUAACGAAAAUAUAGGUGGGAAUCCUAUACCCCGAAAACCCAAGGUUUCCUCCGGAAGGCUCGUCCGCGGAGGGUAAGUCAGGACCUAAGGCGAGGCUGAAAAGCGUAGUCGAUGGACAACGGGUUAAUAUUCCCGUACCAUUUUUUAUGCGAUAUCGAGGGACGGAGAAGGCUAAGCUAGCCGGAUAUUGGUUACCGGUUUAAACGUUCGAGAUGUUGAGAAGCGGAGAAAACGCUUUGAGUUGAGACGUGAGUACGAGACGCUAAGGCGUCGAAGUAGUGUAUGUCAUACUUCCAAGAAAAGCUUGCACUGUCAUUCAUAAAAAAUGCCUGUACCAUAACCGACACAGGUGGGUAGGUAGAGUAUACUAAGGGGCGCGAGAUAACUCUCUCUAAGGAACUCGGCAAAAUAACUCCGUAACUUCGGGAGAAGGAGUGCCUUAUUUAUAUAAGGUUGCAAUAACAAGAUCCAAGCAACUGUUUACCAAAAACACAGGUCUCCGCUAAGUCGCAAGACGAUGUAUGGGGGCUGACGCCUGCCCAGUGCCAGAAGGUUAAAGAAGUUGGUUAGCAAUAGCGAAGCUAGUAACUGAAGCCCUGGUGAACGGCGGCCGUAACAAUAACGGUCCUAAGGUAGCGAAAUUCCUUGUCGGGUAAGUUCCGACCUGCACGAAUGGCGUAACGACUUCCCCACUGUCUCCAACAUAGACUCAGCGAAAUUGAAUUCCCCGUGAAGAUGCGGGGUACCCGCGGUCAGACGGAAAGACCCCGUGAACCUUUACUACAGCUUCACAGUGGCAUUAAAGAACUUAUGUGUAGGAUAGGUGGGAGGCUUUGAAGCAGUGUCGCCAGAUGCUGUGGAGCCAACCUUGAAAUACCACCCUUAAUUUCUUUGAUGUCUAACCGCGCCCCUGGAUGGGGCCGGGACCCUGUGUGGCGGGUAGUUUGACUGGGGCGGUCGCCUCC
rnacentral:rRNA from 1 species